rnacentral:rRNA from 1 species
GACGGGGGAGGCAAGCGUUGUCCGGAAUUAUUGGGCGUAAAGAGCGCGUAGGUGGUUUAUCAAGUCAUUUGUGAAAACUUUAGGCUUAACUUAAAGAUUGCAAGUGAUACUGGUAUACUUGAGCACAGCAGAGGAAAGUGGAAUUCCUGGUGUAGCGGUGAAAUGCGCAGAUAUCAGGAAGAACACCAGUGGCGAAGGCGGCUUUCUGGGCUGUUGCUGACACUGAGGCGCGAAAGCUAGGGGAGCGAACAGG